UUUUUGUAUAUUACAUUACUUUAUAUUCCUAUUUAAUAUAAUAUAAUUUUAACUGAAUUAAAUAAUCAAAAAAAAAUUGUUGAGGCACAUUUACAAACAAUUUUUAUUUUUUAAACAUGUUUUAUAAAAUAAAUUUUCUUUUUUUAGUUGUCGCGUGUGAAAAUAUUUUUGCCGCGACGAUUUUUAUUAAUCCAGAUGAAGUAAUAAUUAAAAAUGAUUCAAUUUCUCGAUUGGGAUAUAGUAAUGAUGCUCAGUUAAAAAUGGCUCAACACAGUACACGAAAAGUAGUUUCUGUAAAAUGUGGUAUUUUAAAAUUGGUAUGAAAUUAAUUUAAGAAUAUAACUUGAAUUUAAAUUUAUAAUAAAAUAUUGUACAGGGCAUAAAAACAGAUAUGGAGUGGAGUACAGUCUUAAACAGUUCCCCAAUACUUUGAAUAUUUUUAUUUCAUAAAGUAUAUACCACCACAUUUUAUCUGUUGUAAAUUUUACCAAAUAUUGAAUGCGAUUAGGUUGGGGGCGGUGUCGUAUAGACUUUUAAAUGUCAUCUAGUUUUUAGUCGGAAAUCGAACGUCGUUUAUGACGCUGGC